UGUACAUUUGUUCACCUCUGUAGUCAUGUCAUAUUCUUCAUGAUGUACCUGCAGUAUUCUUUAAAGUACAUUCCCUCAUUGACAGUCAUCUGCCUACACAUGUGUAUAUAGUUAGCUAAUCAGUGCUUUUCCAUGAUAUAGUCUAUUGGGAUUAGAAAUUAGAUUUUAUGACUUGUUGACAAAUCUAUCAUAAAAAAAAAUACAUGUCCUGACUCUGACAUUGCUUUCAAGUAGCUGGUGUUUCCUGUUCUGACAACCUGUAGAAAAAAGUGACUUUAAUAUGCAGAAUUUUGAAUAUAAAUGAUUUUUUUAAAUAUAGCAGAGAUAAUGGUCCUGGGCAACCUGCUCUAGGUGGCCCUUCUUGAGCAAGGGAUUGGACAAGAUGACUUCCAGCGGUCCCUUCCAGACAUUCUGUGAUUCUGUGAGAAAACUUCAGUCACCUCACAAUCUAGAAUCUUGCCAGUUUUCAAACACAAUUAUGCAUUUACAUGUUGCUGCUGCAAGAGCUGAAGAAGAAAUCUUCUGCAGAUGCAUGCAGGUGUAUAUACACACACUCACACCCUCUACUUCAUGGAGAGGGAGAACACAUUUAAAUAGCUGCCAUUUAGCAUGCAUGGAGGAUAUUUUCCAGCAGUUUGACUUCCACUGUCAGCCAUGUAUAACAACCGUGUUGAUGGAUAAACCAUAUUUACUAGCAAUAUUUUGGAUCAAAGAAGAAGAUUAUGGUUUAGACAAGUACUAGUGUUUUGUUAUUGCCGUAUAAUAUUCCCAAUAAGUUGCUCCUUCCAUUGGGAUUUUGCAGUUACCAGUCAUGUUUCAGUGGUGCUAGGAAAUUUCAUUUUGCUCAUCAGUUCUCACAUGCAGCAGAAAUGUAUUGAUGUCUGAGAUCAUGGAGCACGUUGCACAAAAAACAGGGCAGAAGAGUAGCACAUCCCUUGAAGUAGGGGCACAGCUUCCUAACUCCAAAGUCCACUGCCACGAGCUCUCUCAAAGAGCAGAGGGUCAGAGUCAUAGCUAGAUGGACAUCCAGCUUUGCUGCCUUACAGCUGUCCUUUUGAAAAGUAGGCAGAGAAAAACAUUUUAGGAAGAUAAAAUCAUAGUAGCUGGUUUUCUCUCAUCCUGUCUGACAGCUCAGCAUAUCUACAUAUUGCCUGCUCUUAAAUUAGACCCUACAGUUCUGUUUUCUUCAAUGGCAAUGACAAACUUACAGGACAACAGUACUGCUUUGGAAAAGAAUUAAAAGGCCUGAGGUCUUCUUUCAGUCAUACUUCUGGUCAGCACCCUUGUGGCUAAAAAGAAGCUGCAAACCUGUGUUUCCAAGCAUUACAGUGGCUUUUCUAAAGAAAAAGCACCUACACCUUGUGCAAAACACAGCAGCUGCAUCAGCACACAGCCCUGAAAGUGCAAGCCUACUGCUGGCAGAGACAGAUGGCACAGCAAGGCAAGGUAGGAGCCUCGGGCUUUGCUGGUGACUUUUGUGAAGUAUUUGGUCCUGGAUAAGUUUGGUCCUCGAUAAGCUGGGGAACGUGAUGUGAUUACAGCAACAGGUACCAGGUUGUGGCCAUCCAGAGAAACUGCCGCUUGCUGCUGCUGAGCCACAUUAGCUUUGCAGCUGAUAUCAGUAUCAGAGGGUUUGAUUCUCAGGCAGCUGGCUGAUAAUCUAUUUGAAAUCUUUUCC
ensembl:lncRNA